UAAAUCACAAUGCGGGACUGUUAGUCUUGCAAUUGGAUUGAGAACAACGUACAACUCUUAUCGAUAAGCCAUUGGAGGGCAAGUCUGGUGCCAGCAGCCGCGGUAAUUCCAGCUCCAAUAGCGUAUAUUAACGUUGUUGCAGUUAAAAAGCUCGUAGUUGAAGUGAGGGAGUGUGUGGGUAUGAGAGCUAGUCUCAAGUACUUACAACCUCCCCCCUCCAAUCGGUGUAGUGGGGUAUUCACUUAUUCUACUACUCCUUUGGUCGUUUACUGUGAGAAAAUUAGAGUGUUCAAAGCGGGCGUUUGUUUGAAUAGAUUAGCAUGGAAUAAUGAUUGAAGGCUUUCGUGUUCGAUUUGAUUGGUUUGUUCAUGGAAGCAAGGUUAAAAGGAACAGUUGGGGGUAUUCAUAUUCACUAGUUAGAGGUGAAAUUCUCG
rnacentral:rRNA from 1 species